CAAUAGCGUAUAUUAAAGUUGUUGCGGUUAAAAAGCUCGUAGUUGGAUUUCUGCCGAGGACGACCGGUCCGCCCUCUGGGUGUGUAUCUGGUUUGGCCUGGGCAUCUUCUUGGAGAACGUAGCUGCACUUGACUGUGUGGUGCGGUAUCCAGGACUUUUACUUUGAGGAAAUUAGAGUGUUUCAAGCAGGCUUACGCCUUGAAUACAUUAGCAUGGAAUAAUAAGAUAGGACCUCGGUUCUAUUUUGUUGGUUUCUAGAGCUGAGGUAAUGAUUAAUAGGGAUAGUUGGGGGCAUUCGUAUUUAACUGUCAGAGGUGAAAUUCUUGGAUUUGUUAAAGACGGACUACUGCGAANGNAUUUGCNAAGGAUGUUUNCAUUG
rnacentral:rRNA from 1 species